AAUUUCUUCCUCGUCAAUUUAGCAGUGGCGGAUCUAUUGGUGACACUGGUGUGCAUACCCUUAACAGUAGGAAGGCAUGUCUACACUCCGUGGAUGUAUGGAGAGUUCCUUUGCAAGGCCAUGGAUUUCGUGCAAGGUGUAUACGUGGAAGGCAGUGUGUUGACCAUUGUAUGUAUGAGUGCAGAAAGAUACUUAGCCAUCAGACACCCUAUCAAAGCCAGAGUCUUCUGCAACGCCUCAAAAGUCAAACAGGCAGUCGUGGUCACGUGGGUGACGUCCAUAAUUGUUAUGUGUCCGUUGGUGAUGUACAAGAGACUCAAGGACCUUCCGUCUGAACUGGACAUAACGUCAAUCCAAUACUGCAUAGAGACCUGGCCAUCGAAACAGGACCAGAUGAUCUAUAAUAUCUUCCUGUUGUUCAUCAUUUACAUUAUUCCCGGGCUAGUAGUUAUGGUGCUUUAUUCACUGAUCGGUUUCAGUCUCUGUCGUAAAGACGACCGCUUGCAGCGCUCCAACUCAAUGGUGAACGGUCAAUACGACGAUAUCGUCAUGGUCAACAGACGGCGCUUGGCGCGUCUCCUUAUCAUUCUCUCUGUGCUUUUUGCACUUAGCUGGAUGCCGUACUUUCUAUUGAGUUUAUUCCUGUACUUAGACUUAAGUGUGGAGAGUCAGCAGAUAAUGAAUCAAAUUUACCCCUUUGCACUGCUCUUGGGACAUUCCAAUUGCGCCCAGAAUCCAAUAUUGUAUAGCUUCAUGCAUAAAGGAUUUCAUAAGUUUACAUCGCAAAUAUUUCGCUGUCGAUGUGAUAAAGUAAACGAGGGACGACUUAGAUAUGGUGCUUCGUAUUCCUCAUCAAGAGAAAAUGGAAACAGAACUUCAAGUCGAUCCAAACGACACAUGACGACCGGUGACGUCAUCGCAAUGUACGACUAUGACCAAGCAAGCGUGAAGUCAAGACUUAUACCGAGAACAAAUAUACGAUAGUUUCAUAAAAUGAACAUGAAGGGAAAUAAAAAUAUUUACGUUUGU
rnacentral:misc_RNA from 1 species